CAAAAUAAGCUCCCUUUGCACUUUACUGGCACUGGCAGUACUUAACUUCGAAAUUGAGGGGGCUCAGUUCUUUUAUUCAUGAUGAUGCUGCACAUUACCACCUUUAGGGCUUUUAGCCGGUAUCUUGGUCUUUCAAGAACAAUCCCAACAAUUCAGACAUCAUGCGGAUCCUUUCACACAUUAUUGAUGGGAGAGUAAUAGAAGAGUACUCCUACACCUACACUAGUGCCCUUGCUGGUCUCUUGUACUUGAACAGAGAAACAGUAGUGGUACUGGUACAGUGGUACCUGCCCUGUACCAAUACACAAUAUCUGAAGACUGGAGGAGAAAAUGAAGAGAGAAAUAAAUUGCAUCACCUGGUCACAAGUAUUCUUUUUCAGGGCUUCAGGCAGAGUCACAACUCUGCUCAUCAGUUCGUUGCCACACUAGUGAAAACUCCAUUACUGCUGCAUUUCACUACUGUUGUUUUGUGCAGUAAAAAUGGAAAGUGAAGAGAGCAUGCACCAGGAGACACAUGAGGGACAAGCUUGCAACAGUUUUCAGCCAUCCCAUGUGAGGUCACUGUACGCAUGCAUGGCCUGUAUAGGGGUGGUUGGUUUGAUCAGUCUCAAGUCUGAACUUGUGCAGUUCAUCGUCUCUUUCUGCUCCGUGUGCAAUGCUGGUUAUCGCGCGCGCAUGCGAAGGUAGCCGCAGGCUGCUGGUUUGGCGUUAAAGCCAGACAAACUUGCACUGGCCACACUUGAGAUCACAUUUCUGCUUGUGCAGCCUGCGGUGAAAAAAAGGUGUGUUUGUGUUUUGUUUUCACUUGGAAUCUCAUGGCCCAUCUGUCUGCUUAGUACUGGUAAAAAACGAGUUUACAUGAUGCUGGCCACUUUAUUUACUGUUGCCUUUGCUGCCUGCCCUGCUAGCAGUAGAACCAUGGAAUGUGAAUCAUGAUGUUGUUGUACGUGCAUGGAGAGAGAAAAAAAAGGUGUGUGAUUUGGGGAGACUAAUUACUUUGAUUUGUUAACACUAUCAGCAUGUGGUUACAUCUCUC